rnacentral:rRNA from 1 species
GACAGAGGGGGCAAGCGUUGCUCGGAAUCACUGGGCGUAAAGGGCGCGUAGGCGGGAUGGCAAGUCGGUCGUGAAAUCUCUCGGCUCAACCGAGAAACGUCGGCCGAUACUGCCGUUCUUGAGGGAUGCAGAGGAGACUGGAAUUCCCGGUGUAGCGGUGAAAUGUGUAGAGAUCGGGAGGAACACCGGUGGCGAAGGCGGGUCUCUGGGCCGAUACUGACGCUGAGGAGCGAAAGCGUGGGGAGCGAACAGG